AGUAGUUGUAGUAGUAUAAUGUUAUGACCACAGGACAACACACAAUAAAAAUGAUGGUCUCAGGGCAACAAACAUGAUGAUGAUUGAGUCAGGACGGCACACAUGAUGAUGAUGAUGAUGGUCUCAGGACAACAAACAUGAUGAUGAUUGAGUCAGGACAGCACACAUGAUGAUGAUGAUGAUGGUCUCAGGACAACAAACAUGAUGAUGAUUGAGUCAGGACUAGACUCACUGCAGCAUACAAAGAUAUUAAUUUCCAAUGACCCAACAUGUUGAUGAAAACAUGCUAUUAUAGCCUGUCUCAGUUUAGCUUACUACUCACUUUAUAGAAAUAAUAUUUCUUGCCAUAAUGAGCUCACAAAUGCUCAAAUGCGAAAACAAUCUUUAUUUUUUCUUAUAGAGAACACAGUACAUAGAUUAGCUACAGAUAAAUACCUUUACAAAUUCACAAAUAAUUUACAGAUAGUAUUAUGUUGCUAUGCAUUAUGGCGCAUGUUAACUUUUGUUCUAAGUAUCCAGCAUUUGAUAACCUUCAAUGUAAGAAAAGCUAACCGCUUACCUAGCUGGCCUGCUAAGAUUUGCUAUCUUUCGUGGUAAAAGUUGUACAAAAAUAACAAAAAAGCUCCACAUAUCUAUGCCUAACUACCAAUUUUGCAGAAGAAAAUAAGCAAGACUCUGAUAAAAGUGUGCCUACCUGAAGAUCAGAAAUUUUAGCAGGUAAGUUAGCUCUGCUUGGAGCUCCUGAUUUAGCUCUGCUCCUUCUUUCAAAUUUCUUUUGGAAAGAAAAAAGGCUCACACUGAUGAUGUCAUGGACGCUAAGAGAUUUUGACUGGCUGAUGUGUUUUGUUGACCUGAGGGCUUCAUCACAGUUAUCGCCCUCAAGACAGUCACAACUUCAAAAUCAAGACAGUCAAAAUCAGCAGAUGCUCCACGGGUACACUGAUGACACACAGUUGUUUGUAUUGGUAAAACCAGAUGAUAAACUUCAACUUAAUAAGACUGAGGACUGUAUAAAAGUCCUAAAAGACAGGAUGUUGAAUAACUUCCUCCUACUCAACUCAGAGAAAACAGUGGUUCUUCUUCUUGGUACAGAAGCUGCUAGAAACAAACUGACUAAUUUAACGCUUACACAUAAGUUUUUCAGUUGCAUCAAGUACAUCUGUAAAAAAACUUGGUGUCAUGAUAGAUCAUGAUCUGUUCUUCAAUGCACAUACAACCAAUAUUGCUAAAUUAAGAAAUGCACUGAGUCUACAGGAUGCAGAAAAGCUAGUUCAUGCAUUUAUUACCCGAAGGCUGGAUUACUGCAAUGUCCCGCUGUCUGGAUGUUCCAGCAAAAGCCUCAACAAGCUUCAGUUAGUCCAGAAUGCUGCAGCCAGAGUCCUCACACGAAUUAGAAUGUUUGACCAUAUCAGUCCAGUGUUAUCAACCCUAUAGUGGUUGCCAGUUAAAUUUUGCACUGAGUACAAAAUUCUCUUACUGACUUAUAAAGCUCUUAACGGCCCCUCAGUACCUGAGUAAACGUCUCUCUUAUUGUGAACCAUCACACCUACUUAGAUUACAAGGUGCUGGCUUACUAUUAGUACCUAGAAUUAAUAAAGUUACAUCAAGGGCAGAGCCUUCUCAUACAAAGCCCCCCAACUUUGGAAUAAUCUUCCAGUCAGUGUUCCAGUGACUCAGAUACAGCCUCAGUCUUUCAGUCUAGGCUAAAGAACUACUUGUUCAGUUGAGCCUUUGGUAAUUAGUUUUCCCAUUAGAUAAAAGGUGCAGAAAUGCGGGUUCAUGGUCAUAGAGUAUUAUGGUAAACUGGAAGUGUUGGAACUGGCUACCGUUUGUUGACAGUGGAGCGGAGGGGCGCUGACAUUUCAGAGAGCCAUCAUGUCUCUGUUACCUUCUGGCUCUCACUUUGCGUUAGGCUGUAAUAGCUUGACCCGCCAGAGUCUCUGCUGCUCUCUGUUAACACUGUAUACUGUGAUCAGUCUGAAUUAACAGAACUAACCACCUGUGUGUUUCUUUGCUGAGCUGAACAGCUGAUCAUCUUGUGUGUCUGAUGCUGUUCUUCAUCUGCGUCGAUCAAGUGCCCACUGCUCGCCAGCCUUCUGGACCAGCCUGAUCAUGGAGGUUCUUGCUGAACAACACUGUGCAAACCCCACCUGCAUGAACUGACCCUCCUGAUGAUACUGCUGCAUUUUUAAUCAUAGACAUUGCUAUUCCUGCUUUUCCCUUUUUCCAGAUCUUAUAUUGAUGGUCAAAUCUCAUUCCCUGCUGUUCCUGUUUGCUAUCCGGUGGGACCAGAGGAGACUCUGGGAGGGCAUGCCCAAGCAUAUCUAAUGCCCUGGAGGGCACUGACCCACCUGUGUCCAGCAAUCUAGAGCUGCCUAGUGCUUUGGAAGGCAUCAACAGCUCAGCGCCCAGCCCAAGUAACUAAUGACAACAGUCACUUCGCUGAGCUGCAGCCUAUAUCAACACUGAAGAGCAGGAGACAUGAACUCUUGUAUCUCCCUGAGCUUUCCACUUUGCCUUCAAUAAUGUUAUGCUGUAAUCAGGUGAUGGAGGACACAUGCUGUGUCAUUAGCUUUAAAUGUGUAUAUAUAUAUAUGUGAUGAAAUCAGGGUGUAGAGAAACAAACGAUAAAUUAACACAUUUAUUGCUAAUAAAUCGUUAAAAAGGAACUGUGA